rnacentral:rRNA from 1 species
GACGAACGCUGGCGGCGUGCUUAACACAUGCAAGUCGAACGGAAAGGCCCUGCUUUUGCGGCGUGCUCGAGUGGCGAACGGGUGAGUAACACGCGAGUAACCUGCCCCUGACUUUGGGAUAACUUCAGGAAACUGGGGCUAAUACCGGAUAGGAGCUCCUGCUGCACGGUGGGGGUUGGAAAGUUUCGGCGGUUGGGGAUGGACUCGCGGCUUAUCAGCUUGUUGGUGGGGUAGUGGCUUACCAAGGCUUCGACGGGUAGCCGGCCUGAGAGGGUGACCGGCGACAUGGGGACUAAGAUACGGCCCAGACUCCUACGGGAGGCAGCAGUGGGGAAUAUUGCACAAUGGGCGGAAGCCUGAUGCGGCAACGCCGCGUGCGGAAUGACGGCCUUCGGGUUGUAAACCGCUUUCGCCUGUGACGAAGCGUGAGUGACGGUAAUGAGUAAGGAAGCACCGGCUAACUACGUG